CUUUAUUGAUACUAUGAGGAAAAGGAAGUCUAUGUUGCUUUGACUUGUGACAUAUGUCACAACAAUCUAAAUUAUUGAAAUUAAAACUACAAUUGAUAAAACUAGAAAGACGCUGCAGAGACUGUAGUGCCAAAGAGUGGUAUCAUCUUUCUUACUUGUUGUAAAAGCAGAUCCUUGCAUCAUCCCUUUGUACACAUAAACCCCAUUACGCAUGCUACCCGAUCCAAUCGUCCUCCUCGUGGCUAGGUCCUGUAUCACACAAGAAUCGGAUUGGUAAGUUAUCAUGCAAUUUAAAUCAUGUGUCAACUUAUGUAUAGAGAUUAAAUUGCAGCAAAAAUCGGGCACAAUCAACCCAUUAGAUAGCUUGAUAUUUCUAUCAAGUUUGAGAUUUCCAGCUCUUUCUACCAGCACAGUAUUUCCCGUGGGAACUGUGAUAUAGAAAGGUGUCUCAAGUGAUUGUAUUCCCUCUAAAAUUGAGGAAAAAGGAGUCAUGUGAUGAGAUGCGCAACUGUCCAAGAUCCAUUGGAUCUCUUUAUUACCAGCCAUGCUAGAGAGGGAUGAUCCCGCAUUCUUCAUUCUCAUUCCGUGCAGGGCGUGAGUUGUAUAUGCAGCAAAAUUCCCUCCUGAUCCUCAUCAACAUGAGUUGUAUAUGCAGCAAAAUUCCCUCCUGAUUUAUUGUUCCAACGGUUUGUUCUACGAGCAUCCCAGUUGGAAGGAUAUCCGAUUAUCUCAAAACACUUGGACUUAGGAUGUCCAACCUUUCCACAAUGAUCGCACUUGGGCUUGGGUCCAUCUCUAUUCUGCUUGUUUCCUGAAUAUGAGUGGAAGGCUGUACCUGGAUCCAUCUUAUUAUUCCCUUUCUCCUUCUCCACAGUGAAGCGUGCUUCUUCUCUCAAGACGUGAUUGAAAGCGCGUCUGAGUGAAGGUAAUGGUUCUACAUUCAGAAUGGAGGUUUUGACAUGUCCGUAUUUUUCAUUAUCCAGACUUCCAAGGAAAAGAUGGAGACAUUGUUCUUCUUCCCUUCGCAUCAAUUCCUUUGAUGCUCCACAAGUGCAUUCGGGCAGAGGUUGUAAUUCACUCAACUCAUCAAGCAAACUCUUGAACUAAGUGUAAAAUGUUGUUACACUCAACUCAUCAUCCUUCUGCAUAAGACACAGAUUGCGCCAUAAUUGAUGGAUCCUUGGUGCGUUGGUUUGAGCAAAACGCUCUUCGAGAUCGAGCCAGAUGUCCCUCGUUGUUGAUGCGUGUGAAAUGCUGCUAUGCAGUACCGGAUCAGUGGCAUUGAUGAUCCAUGCUGUUACCAUUGAAUCUGCUCUCUCCCAAUUGACAUAAUUGGUUGUUUUCAUCCCUGGUUUCGUGAUUGUUCCAUCGAUGAAACCGAGCUUCAAUUUUGCUCGGAGCGCCGUUUUCAUCGAUCGUGACCACGUUCUGUAGUUUUCUCCAUUUAGAACAGCCGCCACUAAUGGAGUUCCUGGAUUAUCUGAGGAACCAAGAUAGUAUGGUGAGCUUGAGUCAAUGGCAUGUGAUUUUUUACCUUUAUCGGAGGCAUGAUUUUUCUUCCCCGAAU
rnacentral:lncRNA from 1 species